rnacentral:rRNA from 1 species
GAUGAACGCUGGCGGCGUGCCUAAUACAUGCAAGUCGAGCGAACAGACGAGGAGCUUGCUCCUCUGACGUUAGCGGCGGACGGGUGAGUAACACGUGGAUAACCUACCUAUAAGACUGGGAUAACUUCGGGAAACCGGAGCUAAUACCGGAUAAUAUAUUGAACCGCAUGGUUCAAUAGUGAAAGACGGUUUUGCUGUCACUUCUAGAUGGAUCCGCGCCGCAUUAGCUAGUUGGUAAGGUAACGGCUUCUGAAGGCAAGGAGGCGUAGCCGAAUUGACAGGGUGAUCGGCCGCACUGGAACUGAGACACGGUCCAGACUCCUACGGGAGGCAGCAGUAGGGAAUCUUCCGCAAUGGGCGAAAGCUUGACGGAGCAACGCCGCGUGAGUGAUGAAGGUCUUCGGAUCGUAAAACUCUGUUAUUAGGGAAGAACAAAUGUGUAAGUAACUAUGCACGUCUUGACGGUACCUAAUCAGAAAGCCACGGCUAACUACGUG